rnacentral:piRNA from 1 species
UUGACUCAGACACCUACAGGAGGGCG